rnacentral:tRNA from 1 species
CCGACCUUAGCUCAGUUGGUAGAGCGGAGGACUGUAGUUGGAUGUUAAAUCCUGAUGUCAUCCUUAGGUCGCUGGUUCGAAUCCGGCAGGUCGGA